rnacentral:rRNA from 1 species
AUUGAACGCUGGCGGCAGGCCUAACACAUGCAAGUCGAGCGGAGCGGCGGACGGGCGAGUAAUGCCUAGGAAUCUGCCUGGCAGUGGGUGAUAACGUCCGGAAACGUGCGCCAAUACCGCACACUAGCAUAUGAGCCUAGGUCGGAUUAGCUAGGUGGUGGGGUAAAGGCCUACCAAGGCAACCAUCCGUAUCUGGUCUGAGAGGAUGUUCAGUCACACUGGAGCUGAGACACGGUCCAGCCUCCUACGGGAGGCAGCAGUGGGGAAUAUUGGACGAUGGGAGGAAGCCUGAUCCAGCCAUGCCGCGUGUGUGGAGAAGGUCUUCGGAUUGUAAAGCACUUUAGGUUGGAAGGCGUUACCAACAGAAUAAGCACCGGCUAACUUCGUGCCAGCAGCCGCGGUAAUUC